AUUGAACGCUGGCGGCAUGCCUUACACAUGCAAGUCGAACGGUAACGGGCCUUCGGGUUCCGACGAGUGGCGGACGGGUGAGUAAUACAUCGGAACGUGCCCGAUCGUGGGGGAUAACGAGGCGAAAGCUUUGCUAAUACCGCAUACGAUCUACGGAUUAAAGCCGGGGACCGCAAGGCCUUGCGCGGACGGAGCGGCAGAUGGCAGAUUAGGUAGUUGGUGGGAUAAAAGCUUACCAAGCCGACGAUCUGUAGCUGGUCUGAGAGGAUGAUCAGCCACACUGGGCCUGAGACACGGCCCAGACUCCUACGGGAGGCAGCAGUGGGGAAUUUUGGACAAUGGGCGCAAGCCUGAUCCAGCAAUGCCGCGUGCAGGAUGAAGGCCUUCGGGUUGUAAACUGCUUUUGUACGGAACGAAAAGCCUUCUUUUAAUACAGGAGGGUCAUGACGGUACCGUAAGAAUAAGCACCGGCUAACUACGUG
rnacentral:rRNA from 1 species